GAUCAUGGCUCAGGACGAACGCUGGCGGCGUGCUUAACACAUGCAAGUCGAACGAAGAGCGAUGGAAGCUUGCUUCUAUCAAUCUUAGUGGCGAACGGGUGAGUAACGCGUAAUCAACCCGCCCUUCAGAGGGGGACAACAGUUGGAAACGACUGCUAAUACCGCAUACGAUCUAACCUCGGCAUCGAGGAAAGAUGAAAUGUGGCCUCUAUUUAUAAGCUAUCACUGAAGGAGGGG
rnacentral:rRNA from 1 species